rnacentral:snoRNA from 1 species
CUUGCUUCUAGAGGCUUUGCAGGUCUGUCUGCUGUGUCUUAUGUGUAUCAGUAGGUGGCAGAGUGGAGAGACCUGUGAGCAUCUGAAUGGUUAGUAGCCUAACAAU